GAACUGAAGAGUUUGAUCCUGGCUCAGAUUGAACGCCGGCGGAACGUUUUUACAUACGCAAGUCGAGCGGCAGCACGGGGCAACCCCGGUGGCGAGCGGCGAACGGGUGGAGUAACAUCAGAACGUACCCUGUCGGGGAUAACGAGUCGAAAGAUUCGCUAAUACCGCAUACGACCCGAGGGUGAAAGCGGGGGAUCCGCAAGACCUGCGCGACUGGAGCGGCCGAUGGCGGAUUAGCUAGUUGGUGGGGUAAAGGCCCACCAAGGCGACGAUCCGUAGCGGGUCUGAGAGGUCGGCCCGCCACACUGGGACUGAGACACGGCCAGACUCUACGGGAGGCAGCAGGGAAUUUUGGACAAUGGGGGCAACCCUGAUCCAGCCAUUCCGCGUGAGUGAAGAAGGCCUUCGGGUUGUAAGCUCUUUCGGCAGGAAAGAAAGGCUCCCUCUCUCUAACAUGUAGGGGGCAAUGACGGUACUACCUGAAGAAGAAGCACCUAACACGUUGCGCAGCAGCCGCCUUAAAACAGCCAUGAGGUGCGAAGAGCGUUAAUCGGAAUUACUGGGGCGUAAAGCGUGCAGGCGGCUGUAAAACAGAUGUAAAUCCCAGGGCUUAACCACAGAACUGCGUUU
rnacentral:rRNA from 1 species